rnacentral:tRNA from 1 species
ACCAGGGUAGCCUAGUGGACAUGGCAUCUGCCCGGUAAGCGGAAGGUCGUGGGUUCGAUUCCCGCCCCUGGAC